rnacentral:tRNA from 1 species
GUUGUCACGGCCGAAUGGUAAAGGCUAUAACUUGAAAUCUUUUGGGAUCUUCCCGCGCAGGUUCGAAUCCUGCAGACAUCG